UGAGGGCUAUUUUACAUACGGGUCAGACACCGCUAGAGGCCAAGGUCAAGUUGAAAGUUGCAGUCUAGCCAGUGUGAGAACUGCCAUGCAAGCCUGGAGAGGAGAGUCAGGCAGCUGCCGCAAGGCCCACUGCCCAUCUCCCUUCUCUCACUCUUGACUCCUUUUUCCUUUGGAAUUACUCUUUCUUGCUCUGUUUGGUUACCCAGCAUUUCCCCCCCCUGCCUUCGUGGAGAUUUUGGGGCGGUGUUUACAGACUCUUCUUCUCUGCCUCCACCCUGCUCUCUUGGCCCGGGCUUCGAGCCUCUUCUGUUUUCCAGCCAGACCCAGAAAAACGAAAACACAGCUCGGGGAGCCCCCACCAGCCGGCGCCUGUGCCAGCUCACCUCUGGCCAUGGCGCAGCUGCUGGUGCACACAGCGGCCAAGGCCAGCUCCACAUUCCUCCCUCCCUCUCCCCCACUUCACCGGAGACGGAGCCCUGCAUGCAGAGGAAGGGCCCCAGCUCCACGGACUGCCAAAGUCGACUGGGUCCCUCCUCACCAAAAAUGGUGAGACAAGAUUUCAUCUUGUCUGCAGAGAAGCCACAAGCAGGCUCCUCAAAAGAACUCACAGAAACACAGAAAGGCCCAGGGGGAGUCUUUUGCUGCUGGAAACAACUCUGCCUGGGACCCAGAAUCCAGAAAUGGGUGUCCCUGACCCAGGCAGGCAGAGAGAGGGAUUUUCACCAGUGCAAAUGCAAGAGGAAUGUUGGGAACACAGCUUGGCUAAAGAUGAGGAAACUGAGGCAUGGGAUCAGUGUCUUGUGCAAGGUACCACAGCUGGGUGGCAGAGGCUAGGCUCUUUGGGACUCCGGGUCCACAGGUGAACCUGUGCAUUCUAGUCCAGGUAAAGGGGAGCCCAGGUGGGAGGCUUUCGUCAUGGUUCAUAGAAGAAAAAGCUGUGCUCUUGGGACAUUUCUGUACUUCCGGCCACCAUCACGUGCUAGGAAGAUACCCAACAGUGAUGGUAAAUUGGGGGCUUCUUUCCGGGACGGGUCGGAGGGCACCAUCGUUCAGGGGACCGGGGACUGAAGGUGGGUCGGAGGCAAUGAAGACACCGGUGGACAGACGUGCGGACGCUGCCGCGGGAG